rnacentral:rRNA from 1 species
UACGGAGGAGGCAAGCGUUAUCCGGAAUGAUUGGGCGUAAAGCGUCCGCAGGUGGCUGUGUAAGUCUGCUGUCAAAGAGCAAAGCUCAACUUUGUAAAGGCAGUGGAAACUACACGGCUAGAGUGCGUUCGGGGCAGAGGGAAUUCCUGGUGUAGCGGUGAAAUGCGUAGAGAUCAGGAAGAACACCGGUGGCGAAGGCGCUCUGCUAGGCCGCAACUGACACUGAGGGACGAAAGCUAGGGGAGCGAAUGGG